rnacentral:rRNA from 1 species
GUUAUUCAGGGCGUACGGUGGAUGCCUUGGCAUGCUUAGCCGAUGAAGGACGUGUGAGGCUGCGUUAUGCCUCGGGGAGUUGUCAACAAAGCGUUGAUCCGAGGAUGUCCGAAUGGGGAAACCCAGCACCGGUUGUGUGGUGUUACCCGCAGAUGAAUGCAUAGUCUGUGUGGGGGUUGACGCGGGGAAGUGAAACAUCUCAGUACCCGUAGGAGAAGAAAACAAUUGUGAUUCUGCUAGUAGCGGCGAGCGAACGUGGAUGAGGCUAAACCAUGUGCGUGUGAGACCUGGCAGGGGUUGCGUGUGUGGGGUUGUGGGGUGCAAUGGAUCCAGGCUGUCACCUGGGUGCGUGUGUGUGCGUGUAAGCGGAAAUUGCUUGGGAUGGUGUACCGGAGUGGGUGAGAGUCCCGUACGUGAAUGCAUUGUGCACAUGUGUUGUUGUUUGCCCCGAGUAGCAGCGGGCUCGUGGAAUCUGCUGUGAAUCUGCCGGGACCACCCGGUAAGCCUAAAUACUAAGUGUGACCGAUAGUGAAUAGUACCGUGAGGGAAUGGUGAAAAGUACCCCGGGAGGGGAGUGAAAGAGUUCCUGAAACCGUGCGCUUACAAUCCGUCAGAGCA